UGGGGAAUGUUGCACAAUGGGCGCAAGCCUGAUGCAGCCAUGCCGCGUGUAUGAAGAAGGCCUUCGGGUUGUAAAGUACUUUCAGCGGGGAGGAAGGGAGUAAAGUUAAUACCUUUGCUCAUUGACGUUACCCGCAGAAGAAGCACCGGCUAACUCCGUGCCAGCAGCCGCGGUAAUACGGAGGGUGCAAGCGUUAAUCGGAAUUACUGGGCGUAAAGCGCACGCAGGCGGUCUGUCAAGUCGGAUGUGAAAGCCCCGGGCUCAACCUGGGAACUGCAUUCGAAACUGGCAGGCUAGAGUCUUGUAGAGGGGGGUAGAAUUCCAGGUGUAGCGGUGAAAUACGUAGAGAUCUGGAGGAAUACCGGUGGCGAAGGCGGCCCCCUGGACAAAGACUGACGCUCAGGUGCGAAAGCGUGGGGAGCAAACAGG
rnacentral:rRNA from 1 species